rnacentral:ncRNA from 2 species
GGCAUUGAGCGUCAGCGUCAAGCCCUGGCUCGCUGACCGGCAACCCUCCUCCGCGGUGGGGUGCUCCAGGUGAAAGCCCGGCGUGGUCGCCCGACCCCGCAAGCGCGAACC